GGCGGUUCUUGGGUGUUGCACCCCGGAAUUGGGCUCCCUCCUUUCUGGUUCUGUGUGCAUCACCCGACAACCACA
rfam:Myotis brandtii contig261562, whole genome shotgun sequence.